rnacentral:rRNA from 1 species
GAUGAACGCUGGCGGCGUGCCUAAUACAUGCAAGUCGAGCGAACAGACGAGGAGCUUGCUCCUCUGACGUUAGCGGCGGACGGGUGAGUAACACGUGGAUAACCUACCUAUAAGACUGGGAUAACUUCGGGAAACCGGAGCUAAUACCGGAUAAUAUAUUGAACCGCAUGGUUCAAUAGUGAAAGACGGUUUUGCUGUCACUUAUAGAUGGAUCCGCGCCGCAUUAGCUAGUUGGUAAGGUAACGGCUUACCAAGGCAACGAUGCGUAGCCGACCUGAGAGGGGGAUCGGCCAAACUGGAACUGGGACACGGUCCAGACUCCUACGGGAGGCAGCAGUAGGGAAUCUUCCGCAAUGGGCGAAAGCCUGACGGAGCAACGCCGCGUGAGUGAUGAAGGUCUUCGGAUCGUAAAACUCUGUUAUUAGGGAAGAACAAAUGUGUAAGUAACUAUGCACGGCUUGACGGUACCUAAUCAGAAAGCCACGGCUAACUACGUG